rnacentral:rRNA from 1 species
GAGGAAAAGAAACCAACAGGGAUUGCCUCAGUAACGGCGAGUGAAGCGGCAAAAGCUCGAAUUUGAAAUCCUCUUCGGAGGAGUUGUAAUUUGAAGCUGGUUCUUUAGGGAGUUUUGUUUUUGGCUGCGGAAGUGCCUUGGAACAGGCCGCCGUGGAGGGUGAGAGCCCCGUAUCGUGGCCAGCAAGAUUUUCGUAUAAGGGCUAGCGAAGAGUCGAGUUGUUUGGGAAUGCAGCUCUAAGUGGGUGGUAUAUUCCAUCUAAGGCUAAAUAUGGGCGAGAGACCGAUAGCAAACAAGUACAGUGAUGGAAAGAUGAAAAGAACUUUGAAAAGAGAGUGAAAAAGUACGUGAAAUUGUUGAAAGGGAAGGGUAUUUGAUCCGACAUGGUAUUUAGAUGUCGCUUGCCCCCGUGGCGGGCGCUCCAUCUUUUUACUGGGCCAGCAUCGGUGCUGGGCGGGACAGGAGGUUUCUGUGAAUGUAGCCCUUCGGGGAACUUAUAGAACAGGAUUCAUACGUCUCUCCCCGGUACCGAGGACUGCGGGAAACCAAGGAUGCUGGCAUAACGAGCAAAUACCGCCCGUCUUGA